AAAAAUGUCUGAAAUUCUCAGAAACCCUAGAGACAUUUUCCAUCUUCUUCGUACCUCCACCCUCCGCCUCGUCGCCGCCGGCCAGAAAUCACCGCUGCCGCUAGCGUAGCUCCAAACCCGCCCAAAAAUACACCAGUUUCUCCUUUCCUCCUCCUCUUUCUAACCCCCCAAAAACCAGCCUUCAAACCUAAGCCCAACUCCUCGAGUCUUCAAAAUUGUGGACGCCGCCUACGGUGGCUCCACCGCCAAAGCACUUCAAAAUAACACCCUAUGCUCCUCAUCUCAUCCCCAU
rnacentral:lncRNA from 1 species